AACGAACGCUGGCGGCAUGCCUAACACAUGCAAGUCGAACGAGACCGUCGGGUCUAGUGGCGCACGGGUGCGUAACGCGUGGGAACCUGCCCUUAGGUUCGGAAUAACUGCCCGAAAGGGGUGCUAAUACCGGAUAAUGUCUUCGGACCAAAGAUUUAUCGCCUUUGGAUGGGCCCGCGUUGGAUUAGCUAGUUGGUAGGGUAAAGGCCUACCAAGGCGACGAUCCAUAGCUGGUCUGAGAGGAUGCUCAGCCACACUGGGACUGAGACACGGCCCAGACUCCUGCGGGAGGCGGCAGUGGGGACUAUUGGACACUGGGCGAAAGCCUGGUCCAGCAGUGCCUCGUGAGUGAUGAAGGCCUUAGAGUUGUAAUGCUCUUUUACCCGGGAUGAUAAUGACAGUACCGGAGAAUAAGCUCCGGCUAACUCCGUG
rnacentral:rRNA from 1 species